AACCCUCUGUGAGAAGUGAGCGAGCCUUCAGCCAGGCCCCGUGGCGCAGGCCUCCUCUCUCCACAGAGGCUUUUUAUCCGGCUGAGCACAGCGGAAGGUACUGCCCUGCUCUGCCGGCAAGUGGGCAUUCCAGAGCCCAUCUCCAAGGGGAACUGUCAGGAAGUACCUACACCCCGCACAGCCGCACGCUGGCGAAGCUGUGUAACGAAGGUCUCAGAGCAGACGGCUGUUACCAGUGCACGAGAGAGCAUCUGCAUGGGGCACUCCCUCUUGCGUGCUGAAAUAAUUAUCUUAUUGAAUCCUUGAAGUAAUAAUAAAGAAAUGGGAAUCACUACCCCACUUCUAUGGGUGAGGAAACAGCUGCUAAAUGACUUGGCCACAGUCACAGAGUCAGAAAGUCUGACUCCAGGGGCGCCUGGGUGGCUCAGUUGGCUAAGCGUCCAACUUGGGCUCAGGUCAUGAUCUUGCGGUUCGUGAGUUCAAGCCCCCGCAUCAGGCUCUGUGCUGACAGCUCAGAGCCUGGAGCCUGCUUCGGAUCCUGUAUCUCCCUGUCUCUGUCCCUCCCCGACUCAUACUCUGUCUCUCGAAAAUGAGUAAACGUGAAAUAAAUAAUAAAUAAAUAAAUAGUCUGA